UCCAGUAGCUAAUUUCAUUCCGAUUGUCUAAUUUCACACUUAUUGUUUAAAAGUCUAACCUUAAUUUUCAAUAAGAAGAAAUUUAAAAUUCUACUUGUUUUUACACAGUUUAAAUGUUAUUUUAGCUUAUAUUAUGUCUCGGUGUAGUUCAGAAAAUGCUAAAAACAAUAAAAAUAAAAUUACUAAAAGAAGUCCAUCUGUUGCAGAGAUAAAGAUUGAAAUUAGAAAACAAUUUAAAGAACGAUUACGAAGCUUGAGAGACAAUGCGUUGGAUAAGAAAAGAAUUUUGUUAGAAGAUUUUACAAUGUUUGAGCUGAAAGAGCGUUUGCUAGAAUCCUUUGAUUAUCCUGAUAACACAGACAUGCUUACAGCCUUUGAAGAAA